rnacentral:lncRNA from 1 species
UCAAAUCCCAGUUUUUUCGUAGACCGCUGCGUAAGCUUGUCGCCUAGAUCGCUCGACCGCUUAUGUAAAAGUCUGCCUCGCUUCAUCCACAGACUAUGACUCUGAAAGCCCUUGUCUUAGUGGCAGCUAUGGAGUGGUUUAUGAGGCGGCCGAAGGCAAGUCCAGGUUUAAAUCAGGCCAAUGGCCAUAGACCAAUCGUCGUAGCAACGAGGGGCUUUGUUUUGUGUGUUUAGCCUGUCGCUUCUCGCUUCGCUUUCCCGCUAGGCCAAAAUGAGCUUGGGGUGCAUUUCAGGUAUUUCGAACUUUCCGUGCAUAGGUUCUGGGAAUGGGCGGCCAACGAUGGCAGCGCGCUGUGCCGCAAUGGCGUCAGAGGACUGGGCAGGGUAAAUGCGACCAGGGUGAUCGCAGUUGAACUGAGCAAGAAGUCAACGAACGAGCUUGAUUUUCGUAAGCGUUCUCAACAGUCUGUACCCUAUUACAGGUCAGCUGGUAUAAAUGAAAAAGAUAUCAUGGUAUAGGUGAUUCUAUUGGAUAGUAUACGGAACAAAUAUAUCAGCUUGGUCUUCGUGAAUCUACAUGUAGAUCGAUUGCACCAAAUUGUCAGAGGAAAGAACGCGUUUUCAGUGAUGAUUGCUACUGGGCCGUGUGUUCCGGUGCGCGGGGGCUUGCUUCUACACGUUAGCAACUAGCUAAUUUCUAACAUUUCAAAUUUUUGUUGGCUUAUAUCUGAGCCAAAUCCCUAACUGGGCCCAAAAAAUAUCAUCAUGCCUUGUCAUUUGAUUGCCUGCUUUCAAAAGAUUGUUCUAUCGCUGUCCGACUUUUGACGGAUAGCGGCGCAGCGAAAGUUUUCGGCUUCAGGUUAACUCGCUUUAAUUCAUCGUUAGCGUUCGGUGCUAUGUUAAAUGGUGAGAACUAUCGAGUGUCUCUUAACGCUGCUGGGCAUGUAUCCGUACCUCUUAAAGGCAAACGUGAAGGAGAAGCUCCUGUAGCAUGUUCUCAUUUCUAAGCGAUCGUGGAUACAUAGAUUUCGACAAGCUCUGUUGUGCGGACGAAAGGCAGAUUCGCUGCCUCGUUCUUCUGUCAGCGACCGUGCUGAGGGCCACGAGGUGAAUCAAAGGUCAAUCAGGCUUGGUACGAUCUUAAUACUAGCGGACGCUAACGUAUACGCGCAUAAACCGAGCAACAAACUCUUAGCAACAAACAUGAGGUGGCGUACUUUGCGUCCGUGUGCUCCUUCGUAGCUCAGCACCACUUUAGAGGUAGCGACUACAGGGGCUUGGUCAACGGGAAAGAUACCGCCAGCUUUAGCAGCGGCAACAGCAGAGUCAUCAUCGUGCAACAGAAACAACGAUGACACUGGCGCCGAUGAACAUGACGACGACGACUUCAAAUAAACGUUAAGGCGGAACCGUAUCAGCGGCAUGGUAGAGCCGGCAGUGGCAAUAGGGCAGAAGCUCACCUAUCGUCUCGCCUUGGUAUGACAACUCCUUCACGGAGCUGUCAGCAAUGGCCGAAAUCCGCUUUCUUGCCGUUUCUUUUCGGCAAUCCGGCGACUCAGCGCAGGUCGACUCAUCUACGAUUUCAUCGAGGCUUAACAGAAUCGCCAACGAAACGGUUUUGCAUUGGAACUGAGCGGCGCACCUCGGAGGUCACGACACGAUGACACCGAACUGCGUCUAUGGUCAGCUCACCUUCAUGAAGAAGCCCCAAAUAUAAAACAAUAUGGUAGCGCAGGACAAAGCGCAGUCGCUCCUUUCACCCAUGUUCGACGCGUGUUUAGUAUGCACGUCACAGAUAAUUGCGAAUCGAAACAAUAUCCACCCAUCCAUCUAUCCACCCAUAAAUGCCCCUAGCACACCGAGUAUUUCCACUACGACAAGAUGACGGCUAGUGCUGCUGCUGCUGCUGCUACCAAUAUGGUCAAUCUAUCCACUAAAUGCAACAGGAUACCAACAGCUCUUUCCGAGCGUGUAUAUAGCAUGGCUCGACAGGACAUAAGGGAUUGAGUAAGCAAAUAAUGACUACAGUAUGAAUGAAGGCAAACGAAAAAGUUGAAAGAGGAAGAAGAAUAUAGAGUAAAAGAUGAAUGAAGAAUGAUUUAUAUAUAUAUAUAAGGCUUUACAUAGAAUUUCCAUGUUUAGGACACGAUUUUUUCCGUCGAGCCUAACUGGUAUAUAUGUUUUUAUAGAUUCAAAAUUGUCAUGAAACUAAAGAGAUCCUAAUUAGAAGACACAUGCCAGAGAAACAGUAUAAAAAAAAAUUCCUGGAACAGGCAGCUUAAGGCCAACCGCCAGAUAUAAUUCAACUAUUUGCAGACACUAUUUGGAGGCAAAUAUUGAAUGUGAUUAUAACAAUAUAUAUAAUACAUAAAAAAAAAGUGACUGGGAAGUGAAGUAACUUCAACUCUUGGUAAACAAAAUUUACAGAUAGAAUCUAUAAAAAACGAAUUAAUUGUGAUCUUGAUAACACUUCUAAAUAACUAAUCGUUGCAUAGAGUCAAGCAAAAAUUGAUCAGCAUUUAAUAGACUGAUACCCAUAGAGAAAAUGUGCGUAGGUUUAACUCAGCACGGGUGUCCAACUGAAGUAAUUUUGUGUUCCCAAAUUUUAUAGCCAGACGC